GGAGGGAGCCGUCGAAGGUGGGAUCGGCGAUUGGGACGAAGUCGUAACAAGGUAGCCGUACCGGAAGGUGCGGCUGGAUCACCUCCUUUCUAAGGAG
rnacentral:rRNA from 1 species